UGUAAGGGAAGUCUCGGUCGGAUAAGACGGAGAGGAACUCUUGCCCGACGGCGCCGGUGACGCCGACGACGGCGAGAGAGGGCGCGGAUUCGUGGAGAGACAUUUUGACUCUUGCGGAGAUGGCUCUGGGUUUGGGCUUGAGAGGAAGGUUAGAGAGGAAAUGGGUCUGUGGGGUUUGAUGAGUGAGUGUCGCCAUUGUCGCCGUCGCGAGGAGGAGGAGGAGGAAGAAGUGAGAGAGAGAGACAAAAAGAGGUUUUGGCGGCGGCGGUGAUAGAAGAAAGGUUGAUACUUUAGAGUGCUAAUCAUUUUUUCAUAAUGAAACAUCAGGCUUUUUUAAUAUAGUAAAUGAGAACAACACGCUUUUUAUAUCUGGAAUAGUGAAACUGUAGGAUGUUUGAAAGCGGUGAGCAACAGAGUUAUAUAUUCCACACAACUUUCUCAUGUGUUUGAUUGGUUCUUUUGAGAACUUUUGAAAAGUUAUAACGAUAUUUUUGUUCUAAUCAUUACAGAACAAAAAAGAGUUAAAGCAGUACUGAAAUUAAUAAUUAUGGAUUAAAGCAUGGUUUAGUGUUUUAUAAUUGCUCCCAAGUAGAGAGUUAAAACAUGAUUGUUGUUUGCUUGUUCACAUUUCUGGAGCAGUCUUAGGAAGAAGAACAUCUUGGAUUAGUGUGAGCUUAGCUCGGCCACGGUAUUCUUCCGGCAAGGCAUCUACUCCAAUCUCCUCCUUGAACUUUAUCUCUUCUUCUCCAUCCGUUACUAUCACAAUCUAUUACAACAAAAGGGUAACAUGCUUGAGAUUUACUCAAGAAUGUGGCAGGUAAGUACUCAUCAAUAAAAGAGUAGAGAUCAAAACCUUUUCUUGAGUAGAUUUCUCUAGAAAACGGCAGACGAAUCUCCAAACGGACACGAAGAAUCCAGGCAUAUGCAACAUGUAGCAUUUUGCAAGGCGUUCCGGGUAGUAAGACUGGACAAAACAUGUUCAAGAUUUAAAACAAGAUGCUGAGUUUUCUUGGUUCGGAUGUGAUCUACAUUUUUAGAUAGAGGAAGAUGAGAUAGUUACUUGUAAGAAUUGAAAGCUGGUGAUUAGUCCACGAGCAUCAAGGUUCUUGUAAGUAAUGUUUGCAAGAUCGAAAACGGCUACUAACUUCUCAUCUCCUACUUCUUUGUCUUUGAUGCCACUGAAACAUACGAACCAAAAAGGUUGUAAUACAAUCAAGGAACCGAAAUAUCAGCGUUUUGAAAUGUUUUUGGUUAAAGUGAUGUGUGUUAACCUUGCAAUUGUUUUGUCUAGUACAUAAACAACAAACUCUGCAAACACCAAACACAUGAAAAGAUUAGUCCAUAGAUAAUAAUAUUUAAAUCAAAUGAAACGACUCAAUAUUAACAAGAGAACAUGAAAGCUGACAUGGGAUUCCCAAACAGAAUACUUAUCUACUCAAUGAACAGUUUAGAUUCAAAGAAGUCUUAAAUAGAGUAAGAGGUGAUUGAUUACUCUUGAAGUUAACUGCAUUCUUGGCAGGAAAAUGCUUAGAGCAUAAGACAAGCACCAAAGGGUGUCCGGAUUUGGUUGGACCCUGAAGACAAAUCUUUCCAAACUCCAACUCAUCCCUCACUUCUGAGUCUGGGAUCCCAUUUGGAGGAACCAUGGAGGCUCUCCAUUUUUGACAAUCUACAAACAUCUUUGCUGCCUUGUCAGGGUUCAUCGAUCUUGCCACCAAGAACCUCAUCAACGUCGGUUUCUCAUAUCCCUUACAGAUGAAAAAACAUAACAAAAACAAUCAGAUUUUCUGAUAUGGAUUAGAAUGGCUAAAAGAACACCAACAACUUUAAUUACCUCUGUGGAAGAAGAGAGUUUCUCGACCGAUGUUCUCAACUGGGUCAAAGCAAGUUCGUGACUUUCCUCCAUUGUCUUUUUGGCUCUCAGAUCUUCAAAGGCUUCUGCAAAGAUUAUAAAGAGGGAGGGAGAGAAAGAGAGACAGCCUUUUGUGUGUUGGGAUGUUUAUGUACACACACUAGACCUAGUACGCACAUACGAAUAAGUCAGUUGAAAAGUAAAUAGCUUUUAUGUUUGUGAUGUUGACAGAAGCCUGAAAAAUAUCAAAAAGACCGGACAGAGGAUUUGUGUACUCGUGUGUCUUUACCCCGGUUCACGGCAAAAACAGACAGGCUGGAAGUUGAAUCUGUCUCUAUCAUUUUGACUUUUAUUUGAUUCCCUUGAAGAUUAUUAUAAUCACUACACAGCUGCGAUUAUUCAAUGACUUAACUACUAAAUCCACUCUCUAACGUGUUUGAUUGCUUCUUUUGGAAAUUUAAACUAGUUGAAAAGUUCAAACAACAGUUAUGCUCAAAAUUUUCUAAUAAUGAGAGAAUAAAUUAAAUAAAUAAAUCAGUACGAAAAUUAAAUAAUGUGCACGGCGCCAAGGCUUAGUGUUUGAAUGUUAAAAUGGUCCAAAAAAUUAAGAGUUACGCAUUAUUAUUUGUUUUUAUUUGUUUAUUAUUCCUUGAGCAGAUUGAGGAAGAAGAACAUCUUGUAGUGAGUGCUGCGAGUGUGAGAUUAGCUCGGCCACAGUAUUCUUCCUGCAAGGCAUCUACUCCAACUUCCACUCUUCUUCAUUUACUAUCACAAUCUUAAUUAGUAUACAAGCCGCGGCUCAAAUUCUUUCCUUAUCUUAAAGAUCUUGUUAAUUACACCCUUUUGUCGUCGUAAUGCGAGCCACUUCAAAUAUGACUCAACUGGGAUACGCGUACCGGUGAAAUGAUAGGGGACCGGUUCAAUUUAUGUGGUUAAGUUCGGUUAAAUUGUGACCCAAUUCUCUUUUUGCCAGAUUUGGUUUUGAGUUUUAUGACACCAUCUCCAAUGAUUUACUCUAUUUUUUACUCUAAUAUAGAACUAGAUUUUGACCCGCGCUUGAAAGCGCGGAUUCUUUUGUUAUAACAAAUUUUGAUAUGAAUUAGUAUUGUAUGAUUGUUUUACAUUAUUAUGUUACAAAGUCGAAUUAUAUAAAAUAAAUAAUUUUUAAAAAUAUUAUAUAAUUCAUGAAUUACUUUAUUUGGAAUUUUGUAUAAAUUUUAUGUAAUUAUCUCUUAUGCAUGGUAUUUUACAUGGAUCCCGAAAAACCAAACCAAAAUCAGCUCGAAAAUUUUGGUUCGGUUCGCGUCGGGUCCAGAGAAAAAUACGUAUUUUUUUUUUUGAAAUGUGGGUCUCUGUUCGCGUCUGGGACCUACCCGAAACCCGUUUGGGAUCAAAGUACCCAAAAUGUUGUGUAAAUUAUAUAUAUUUGUGUAUUUUGGAUAUUUUUUUGAUAUACAUAUAUUUUUGAGUUUUGGUUUGAAAUUCCGGUUAUAGUUUUGGAUUUCGAGUAAAAAAUCAAAAUUUAUAAAUAUAUUUGGGUAUUCAGAUAAAAUUUUGGGUAUUUUUUGGUUCAUCGGGUCAGAUUUCAAGUACAAUUUUAGGUCUUUUGAGUAUUUUCUGAUUUUCAGGUAUUUGUUUAGAUUUUGGAUAUUUUUUCGUGUUUCGAGUAUAUUUAUGUUUAUCGAGUUUUAUUUGAGUCCUAAAUAUCUGAACGGAUCCAUACCCGUUACAUACAAAAAAUACUUACCACAGACGGGGAUGAGAGAUCUCCGAUCACUUAUGUCCGAUAUAGUCGCCGAGUAAGUAGAUGAUGAGUGAUCGCUUUAGGAUUCUCAAUUAUUUUAUUCUUAUUUAUAAACACUGAAUUGACCGAAGACAGUGUUUUGAUUUUUCGUCUUCUUCGUCGUCGUCUUCAAGGGUCCCACUAGUUUGAGCUUCAAUACUCUGCUUCGAGUAUCCCGAAUUGCUUAUGUCCGAUUGCUGACGUCAUCGUAUUAGAAACUUAAUCGGACGGUCGAGAACUCUCAAUGAUGUGAAUUAAAGAGUACUUAAGCGUCGUUUAUAGGACGCAAUUUAGAAGAUUUUUUUUUAUAGUAAAAAAGGAAUUUUUAGAAGGAUAAAGGAAACAUAGAUUUGAAGAGGAGAUAGGUUAAAUAUUUAAAGAGCCAAUUAAAACAGAAAGUAGAGAGAUAUUCGUUUUCAUAAUCACGAUAUUACUUUCUGUUUUUCAUUCAUCAUUUUUUUCUGAUGUGGGGUAAUGAUAUAACGACAAAGUAACCAACCUUCGUAGCGAAGGAGUUGAUCAGUAUUGGAUAACACUUUAUUCAAUCUUAAUAGAUAAAUAAAAUAUUUCGCAGGAAUCGUACGGGCUAACUAAACUACAAAGCGAAAAGGAAGGACAAUGUGGGCCUAUUGGUGACUGGUUAGUGCGUAGAAUAAUUGAGGGACCAUAAGAUUUGAUCCUCUGUGGCUAGACCUAUUAUAAAGCAAUCUGAACUUCUGAAGACCACCUGCAAAAUUGAAUCUUCCAUUGACCAAACCGGUACUGGUUCGAACCGGUAACUGGUAAGGUUCAAGCGUAGGGAUGGAUUAAUUUUCAGAGACAACUUCGUGUAUAAGAAAGUAACAAAAAUUCGUCAAAGGGAAACAAAAAAAAAAGAGACAAAGUCUUCGCUCAAAUCUCAUACAGAGAUGUCAUGCCAAGUGAGAGAAUCGAAAUCAAAAGAGCAUCUCAGCGAUCUGAACAGCAUUGAGAGCAGCUCCUUUGCGUAUUUGAUCUCCACAUACGAAUAUGUCAAGCCUGUAUUUCACAAAGUUUAUUAUUAUUAAUAAGUAAUAACCAAAUGGUAAAAAUCUCAACCGGUUCAAUAGAAAGAGUGAAGCUUUUUUUACUUACCCGUAAUUGCCAUCUUGAGACACGUCUCGCCUGAUCCUACCAACGGCGACAUCGUCUUUGUUAGAGACAUCAAGUGGAGUAGGGAAGGUGUUAGAAGCGCGGUCGUCUAUGAUAUAAACUCCAGGUGCUUUCUUCAACAGCUCUCUUGCUGUGUUCUGUUAAUUUACAGUUACAAAAAACCGUUAUAGCCCGAAUAAAAAAAACUGAUCAUAAUAUUCUUUUGCCGCCAAGAAGAAUCACAAAACUUAUUUACUCACUAGCGUCUUAACAUGCAAGCUAGCAGAUAAAAGCCCAAAUAACAACUUCAGAGAACACUAUCCAAGUCUACAAUCUUAAAGAAACCAAUGCUUCAAAUAACUAUUGAAUAACAAAUUUAGUAGCAAAAAAGGGUUUGAUGUGUAUUAUUAUUACCUCGUCCAGGGGAUUCUCAAACUGGAGAUUCACACUCUCUGCAUGAGCACGCAUAACCGGAACACGUAUACACGUCGCUGUUACUUUUACUUCUGUAUCAUUCUGGGAAGUGCAAGAAAGGUAAGAAGCCUCUUUAAUACAACCAACAUUUUGAACAAAAGAUCACAGUGAAGUGGAUAUUUAGAUGUAGCCAGCUCUUUAUGUAAAGACACUCACCCAGAUCUUCCUUGUUUCUUUAACAAGUUUCACCUCCUCUUCGUUGUAACCAUUCUCAGUAAUGGGAGCAUUAUGUGAGAACAGGUUAAAUGCAUACUGUAGAAAACAUACAACCAUCAAACUCAGAAUCAAAACAUUCGAAACAUAAUUCUAUAACCAAACUGAAGAGGAGUAUUCACCUGCUGCCCGAAGAUGUUACAAGUCGGCGGUCUGCCCGCUAAAACCUAACACAACACCAACCCAAAAAAAGAAUCUUUCUUCAGAAUCACUACUCACCACAACCGUUAAGACCAAAGUCAAUAAAAUGUCUAAAUAGAAACCAAACCUCGCGAGUCUGCUGCACAAGCUCCUCCAUAGCUGCAGCACCUGCGCCACUAGCUGCUUGAUACGUACUAACCACCAUCCUCUUCACCUGUUACAAACCAAUAAGAUCAUUACACAGAGCACAAAGACGCAUACUUUGUCAUCAAAAACGUCGUCGUUCCAUUGAUUCAGCGUUCAUAAAAAAUCGAACCUUGGCGUGACGAUGAAGAGGCGUAACAGCCAUCAAACAGAUAAUGGUGGAGCAAUUAGGGUUCGCAAUCAACGCCCCUUUACCACUUCCGACUUUAAUCCCUCUCAUCGCCUCAGGGUUCACUUCAGGUAUCACAAGCGGGACGCCGUCAACCAUACGAAAAGCAGAGCUGUUAUCAACGACGAUGGUUCCUCUCUCGGCCGCCAUUGGCCCAAAGGCCUUGCUUAUUGAUCCUCCGGCGCUGAACAGCGCGAUGUCGACGCCGUCGAAGCUCUCCGCAGUGAGCUCCUCCACCGUGUACUCGCGCCCGUCGAAGGCGACGCGUUUCCCGGCGGAGCGUUUGGAGGCAAGCAUCUUGACGGAGCUGUAAGGGAAGUCUCGGUCGGAUAAGACGGAGAGGAACUCUUGCCCGACGGCGCCGGUGACGCCGACGACGGCGAGAGAGGGCGCGGAUUCGUGGAGAGACAUUUUGACUCUUGCGGAGAUGGCUCUGGGUUUGGGCUUGAGAGGAAGGUUAGAGAGGAAAUGGGUCUGUGGGGUUUGAUGAGUGAGUGUCGCCAUUGUCGCCGUCGCGAGGAGGAGGAGGAGGAAGAAGUGAGAGAGAGAGACAAAAAGAGGUUUUGGCGGCGGCGGUGAUAGAAGAAAGGUUGAUACUUUAGAG
rnacentral:lncRNA from 1 species